UACGGAGGAUGCAAGCGUUAUCCGGAAUUAUUGGGCGUAAAGCGUCCGCAGGUGGUUUAUCAAGUCUGCUGUCAAAGCGCGAGGCUUAACUUCGUAAAGGCAGUGGAAACUGAUAGACUGGAGUGCGGUAGGGGCAGAGGGAAUUCCCAGUGUAGCGGUGAAAUGCGCAGAUAUCAGGAGGAACACCGGUGGCGAAGGCGGGUCUCUGGGCCGAUACUGACGCUGAGGAGCGAAAGCGUGGGGAGCGAACAGG
rnacentral:rRNA from 1 species